UCUGACGCCAUACGAUCUAGCAGCAAAAUUUAAAUCUCUCCAGUAUAAAGAAGUGAUGGAAUACUUACAGUCUGUCAUGUCAGAGGAAUCUUCAGGUGUGACUGCUGGUCAAGGGAUGGAAGUUGCAGGUGAUAUGGUUCCAACUGAAAUAAAAUUAAUGGCUGACAAAAGAUCUAUUGAUUUGUACCUCAAAUUACUUGAGUCAGGAUCUGAGAAAAAGAGAGACAUACGUUUAGUAAUAGUUGGGAAGAAAGGUGCAGGAAAAACCUCAUUGAUUAAAAGAUUGUUCUCUGAAGAGAAUACAGAUGUAACUAGUACAAAUGGAAUAGAAAUCCACACAAUAAAAUGCAAAGCAAUGUCUGAUGAUGGCAUAUGGAAUAAAUUAGAUGGAACCAAUGAAGAAACUGAAAUUCAUGCAAGACUCUUGAAACAAUACAAAGAAACAAUUGAAGCAUCAGUAGAAGAAGGAGCACAUGAAGCUGUCAAGGAAAACACCCUCACAACCAUUCUGUACAAGCGUAUUGAGGAAUCAAAAGAAUCAGAGACAGUAACCCAGCAGCCUAAAAUAAGAAAACAUCAUGUAACUACUGAAUCUCAAGUUGAACCUCCAGUAACCUCGCAGCAACGAAAUCAAGUAUUAAAACAGGCAAAAAUGGAUAUUGAAGCCAUUCUUAAAUCUAAUGUUGAUUUACAUGAUAAAGAGGAGUAUGCCACAUUAUUGUUAUGGGAUUUUGCAGGAGAUGAAGAAUUUUACCACACACACCAAACUUUUUUAUCACAAGAUGCAAUUUAUCUUGUCGUAACAAAACUCACUGAAGCUGACGACAUACAAGCACAAGAUUUAUUCCAAUUAUGGAUGGACUCAAUACAUUGCUACAGUAGACUGGAAGAGGACAAAAGUAGUUCUGCUGACAGCAAGACAUCAGAUGAUCUUGAUCCACCAGUAGUUAUUGUUGGUACUUGGAAAGAUGCUGUGACCUCUGAUGUAGAAGAGAUUGACGAUGCAUGCCGAGAAAACAUUUUUAAGUUUACGGAGAAUAUGUCAGAAGAUCAACUAAGACAUAUAAGGCAAGAAUACUUCAUUUCCAAUACAGAAGAUGAUCCCAGUGUAUUCCAGAAAAUACGAGAAGACAUCCUAAACUUAGCCAGAAAAAUGAAAAAAUGGAACAUAGAUUAUCCCUUAAAAUUUAUUCAGCUGGAAACACGACUUCAAGAAAAGAAGAAGGAGUUACCUAUUAUUUCCUUUCAGGAAAUUCAGAAUAUUGCUACUGAUACACCUAAGCCACUAAAUGAUGAAGAACUCAGAUUGUUCCUGGAAUUCCAUCACGAGAUCAGAGCUUUAGUUUAUUUCAAAGAUCUUCCUUCCUACAUUAUUUUAGAUACACAGUGGUUGUCUGACGCUUUUAGAUAUAUAGUUACUGCAAAGAAAUUUAGAGCCAUUAGUAUCAAAAAUAGAAAAAAAUGGGAUGAAUUGUACAGUAGAGGCAAAUUACAUAGUGAGGUUUUAGAAGAUAUAUUCAAAAAAAGGGAUAAUAUGUUUUUCAAACACAAGGACCAUAUUCUGAAUGUAAUGGAGAGAUUUGAUAUCAUCAUACGUCCAAACAUGUCAGAGACUGCUGACGAAAAGCCUUGCUACUAUGUACCUUGCCUGAUUAAAAAAGAAUUACACUGUGACAUUUAUGCAACAUUUAAUGUGACAGACGAUACCUGUAAAAAAUCAACUUGGUUAUGUUUCAAAUUUAGAUUCAAGCCACCACAUCUAAUGAACCAUUUGAUUGCUUCACUGAGCCGGAAGUAUGAAAUUGCAGAAGUGAUUGUUCCAAAUAAAAUAAAAAAGUCAGUUGCUCUUUUCGGAGGCAUUGCAGUCUUUGAGUUACAGAAGAAAACAUAUUUAAGAAAAUUGCUUGUAAUGACAUUUCCAAAUUUUAUUCAGGUUCAGGUUUUGGAAUUUGGGAAAGAUUCAUUCAUCAAAAGAGGUUUGUACAAAGACAUUGGUGACUUCGUGACAGAGGAGUUAGAGAAGAUAAUACAUACACGAUUCAAGAUGUCCAAUGUAGAAUUCGAGAAAAAAUUUGAAUGUGGCCAUACAAAACCUGAAUUAGUGACAGGAUCCAAUGAAUUUAGUGAGGAGCAGAUUACAGAAUAUCUCUGUGGGACAUGUAAAACACCCCACACAUUCGAUGGCGAAUGGUCAGAGAUAGAAAGUAAAGCGCUGUCUGAUAAUUAUGAGAAGAAACCGGGACAGAGAGGACUUGCCCUGAUUGUUAACUUCAUGUUCCAUGGUGGGACAAAUGAGAGAAAAGGUUCUGAUGUGGAUUGUAAGAAUCUCACAGAUUUCUUUAAAGAAGAACUAAAGUAUCAGGUGGAAUGUACAACAAGAGAUAUGACAAAGUUGGAGUUACAGGAUUAUUUCCAAGAAAUUGCCAGAACAUACUUGGCAGUGAACUCAAAGGAUUAUCAUUCCUUUAUCUGUGUAAUUAUGAGUCAUGGAAAUGAGAUAGGAAUUCUAACAACAGAUGAACUGAUCACUGUGGAAGAAAUAAAAAAGCCAUUCAAAAACAAACCUGGAGGAAAAUUUAAUGGUAAACCAAAAGUAUUUCUCAUUCAAGCCUGUCGUGGAAUAGAAAAGCAGGAAAAAGUUGUUGUGUCUGAUUGUUUUGAAACUGAAAUCCAUACUGGACAUGUUGGAAGGUAUGAUGAAUUUCCUGGAAGAAGUUCUGUUGAGACCUCUGUUAUCAAACAAGGAAUUCUAGAUAAGCCAUCUGGCUCAUCAGAAGUGUUCUCUACUGAUGCUCAUAGUUAUUCUUCAGAAAAUGUUCCAACAGAUGCUGACAUUAUAGUAGCAUAUGCAACAACACCAGGCUAUAUAUCCAUUCGGAAUAUAUAUGAAGGGGCAUAUUUCAUAAGAGCUUUCUUGUCUGUUGCCAAGAAUAAAUACAAGGAGGAACAUAUCGAGGAGAUAUUAAGAAAUGUGAGAGGAGAAUUAGCUACGAAUCAAGAAUAUGUACCACCAUCUGGAAGCUUGGAAGGAAAAUGUCAGAUGGGAAUGUUAGAGACUACAUCUACAAAGAAAUUUUUCUUGUAAUGUCAGGUCAAUAAAACUUAUUUGGAAGGAAAAUGGUUAUCAAGCCAUUUAUGACCAUUAUCAUGAAUUAAGUAUAUAUUUUCCGAAGUUUGAGGCUUUAUGUAACUGAUUUCAUGCCCUCAUUUUGAUGAAUAAAUAAAACCUUUUUGUUUAUUUAUCAGACAUUGAAAAUAACGUCUCAACUUUAUUCUAUGUCAACUAAAAUCAAAACCAGUCUGUUCGAUUAUAAUCUAUGUUGAUCAGCUUGUCAUUUAGAUACCCUAUAAAAUUAGCAUUGUGACAGGGAAGAGAUAUAUCUAUAAAGUUUGAUAUUGUAAGCAGUUUAAAAUGUUAAGAGUUGUUUAUAUAAUCAGAUUUAAUCAGAGAAAGAUACUACAAACUAGUAAUUAAUACAUGUAUGUGUUGACAAAUGUGGCACCAAUAUGGUUUAUUAUGCAAGACAUGCAAUUGGCCAUUAAUGUGGGGUGCUGUGAAGAUCCUACUGAUAACUUGAUUGAUUGAUUGAUUGAGUGGUGUUUAACGCCACUUUCAACACUAUUGUGCUAUCUUGUGGCGGUCAGUUUUUAUUGGUGGAGGAAGCCGAAGUGCUCGGAGAGAACCACCGACCUUCGGUAGGAAAACUGUCAAUCCUAGUCAAUUAAGAUUAGAGUUGAGCACACCUGCCCUGUGCGGGAUUCGAACUCGCCGAUAACUUGAACUCGAAAACUUUUGUAGAAUUGUUGUAAAGUUGUGGCUACAUUAUUGAAAAUGAUUAAGUGUUCAUUCAAUGAGGGAUUUCUGUUCUACUAUUUUGCAAAUUAGAAUGACUGGAAUCAAUUGUCUAUCUACAUUUUUCUCUGUAAUGUCAAAUUUUAUGGAAUUAACUUGAUGGUAUUUUUUGCAAUUUUAAUACUAAAAAAAACAGUUUCUGCAUUUUAGAAAAUAAACGCUGUUGAACUAUAUUUUGGGAAGAAUACCCUCUUUUUCACCUGUCUAACAAAAUAUAUAAAUCAAUUUCUCAUCUAUUCCCCAUCCCGUUUAAAUGCACUGUAGUAGAUGUGAUGUUGAAAGAAACUUCCACAUGUGUAUAUGUUACACUGUUUAUUCCAAUGUUUUAGAUGGUAAACCAAACAAUUGUUCUCGAUAAAAAGAUGGAGGUUUUCAAUUAAACAUACGGUCCAGUUUUAUUUUCUUUCCUUUCGCCAUUAGUGGUGUUAUUAUCAAAAUACAAACUUUUGUGAGUGAUAGUUCAUUUAUUAUACCUUUGUUUUGUUCUGCAUUAUAUGUUCUUUUGUUCGUCCGUCCGUUCGUUCGUCCAUCUGUCCCGCUUCAGGUUAAAAUUUUUCAGGUUAAAGCUUUUAAUCAAGGUAGUUUUUGAUGAAAUGGAAGUCCAAUCAACUUGAAACUUAGUACACAUGUUCCCUAUGAUAUGAUCUUUCUAAUUUUGAUGCCAAAUUAGAGUGUUGAUCCCAAUUUCACAGUCCACUGAACAUGGAAAAUAAUAGUGCAAGUGGGGGAUCCGUGUACUAUGGACACAUUCUUGAUUUGAAAUCUUUUUUAUAUACAGUAUUUUCAUCAAUAAAGAAUUAAUCAUUAUUGUUGAUAAAUGUGUUGGUUUGUACAUAAUUUUUUCAUUAACAAAUGAAUGAGACGUUCAGAUCAUAGCACACUCAUUUUGCAUAUCAUUGAGAUAUUUUAGCACUGUCAUUGUACAUAAAAUUGAUAUAUUUUAUCACUUUCAUUGUACAAAGAAUUGAACAUUUAGUAUGAUCAGUAUAUAGAGCAUUGACCUAUUUUAGCAGUUUCAUGGUACACAUAAUUGGCUGAAUUUAGCACUAUCAUUAUACACAUGACUUACAGAUUUAUCACUAUCAUUGUACAUAUAAUGGACAUAUUUUAUCACUAUCAUUGCACAUAUAAAUGACAUAUUUUAGCACUAUCAUUGUACAGAUAAUUGACAUAUUUUAGCACUAUCAUUGUACAUAUAAUUGACAUAUUUUAGCACUAGCAUUGUACAUAUAAUUGACUUAUUUUAGCACUAUCAUUGUACAGAUAAUUGACAUAUUUUAGCACUAUCAUUGUACAGAUAAUUGACAUAUUUUAACAAUGUCAUUGUACAUAUCAUUGACAGACUUUAGCACUGUCAUUGUUCAUAUAAUUGACAAAUUUUAGAUAUAUCAUUGUACAAAGAAUUUACAGAUUUACAAAUUAUUUUAAAAAACUAGCACUAUCACUAUAAAAAAUAAAACAUGUGAUAAAUCGCCAAUGAAACCACUAUCCACCAAAUAUCAAAUGAAAUGGAUGUAAGCAGUUUUAGGCAACUGCACGGCCUUCAACAAUGAGAAAACCCCAAACCAUAGAUAAUCGGUUAUAAAAGGCCCUGACAUGAAAAAUACGAAACACUUCAAUUGAGAAAACUAACAGCCUAAUUCAUAACAGAAACAUUUACGAAAAAAACAAAUAUGACAGACAAUGAACCAACAACAACCACUGAACUUGACUUGGGACAGGCACAUAAAGAAAGUGGCUCGGUUAAUCAUGUUUGUGAGCGCUAAACCCUCCCCUAACCUGGGACAGUGUUGUAACAUCACAACUUGCGAACAAACUAUUAAAUCAGUUUAAAAGGGCUUAACUCAUCAGAUCGAUACAAAGCAAAAAGAAAUAAAACAAAAACAAAGACCGGACGUGGUAGAGUAUUUAUCCAUCCCUCAUCCCUAACAACAAAUAAGACACUAAGUAUAGAUUUGAUAGUACUCCCAGUUACUGACAGCUAGUUCAAAGCAAAUAGCAACUAAUACAAAAAAUCAAGUAUCUAAGAUUAAAAUAUCAAUCGGUACAACCCCAACAUCCAAUGGAUUUAGUGUAAAGAUGUUAUUAAAAGUCAGAAAAAAACAUGAUCAUGUACUGAAUGCCAAAAUAUAGGUAUCGAUAGAUUGUAGUACCGUAAAUUAAACAUGAGUAUGACAAUAACAUUAAGAAUGGUUUUAAUUUACUGAUAACAAAAUCAAUAUUUAUACAAAUAAAAACAAUAUUCAAAGAUUUGAUUACAGUGUUGAAUUAGUAACCUUUCAGAAUAAGUUAUUUAAAGGAUUGAUAAGUCUACCUGGAUCGUAUCUAAAUUUCCUGGCUCGGUUAUCAACAUCACCGUAAAAUUUAGGAUGUGCUAUUCUCUUUGAAAUAAGUUUUCUACAGGUACAGCCAAACUUGCAAACUUAAUCUUUGUAUCUAUGGAAGAAUUUAGUAACGGUUUUAAACAAUUUUUGGUAACGAAAUCUGUGACAUUAUAAUUUACUAGUAAUUUGUCGAAACCAAAAACAUCACUACAGACAUGGGCAUGACGAACGGGUUGGGUUAUAUAAACAUCGUACAACGUUGCCAAAGGAACAUCAGCGUCCAAAAAAGAAAACUAAUUAUAAGGAAAGAAAAAUCAUCCCUUUUGUCGUAGUUUUUGUAGAGUUUUUAUCAUUUUACAGAUAAUAGACCACUUUCGAGUCAUGUCCUUAACUUCAAAAGUUCGUCAAUUAUGUGUGCCUUUAUGACGUCAUUUACCCGAUAGAGGGGACCGCCAGUAUCCCUGCACUAUCAAGUUCAUUAAGCAUCUUCAUGAACGUUGUUAUGCAGGAUAAACUAGAAAUAAUGUUUGUUCCAUAGGUUUUUAAUCACAAUUGCAGUGCUGAAAAUCAAUUAUAAGAAUUUAAAUUGCUGAAUAAUUCGUGAAAUGUAUAUAGCAUCAUAUUUGUUCCACCGCUGAACGUGGGAAGGGAGUGACGAUACACUUAAAUGCACGAAUGAUGUUCACUAAAACCAAAGAUUUUUGACAGAAAUGCAUGAACUCGAAAGUGGUCUAUUGACAGAUUUUAGCACUAUCAUUAUACAGAAAAUUGAUUGAAUAUAGCACUGUCAUUGUACAGAUAUCUGAGAUGUUAAAACACUAUGAUUGUAUAUAUAACUGACAGAUUUUAGCACUAUCAUUGUACAGAUAACUGACAGAUUUUAUCACUAUCAUUGUUUAUAUAACUGACAGAUUUUAUCACUAUCAUUGUACAGAUAACUGACAGAUUUUAUCACUGUUUGUAUAUAUAACUGACAGAUUUUAUCACUAUCAUUGUAUAUAUAACUGACAGAUUUUAUCACUAUCAUUGUACAGAUAAGUGACAGAUUUUAUCACUAUCAUUGUACAGAUAACUGACAGAUUUUAUCACUGUUUGUAUAUAUAACUGACAGAUUUUAUCACUAUCAUUGUAUAUAUAACUGACAGAUUUUAUCACUUUCAUUGUACAGAUAACUGACAUAUUUUAUCACUAUCAUUGUAUAUAUAACUGACAGAUUUUAUCACUAUGAUUGUAUAUAUAACUGACAGAUUGUAUCACUAUCAUUGUAUAUAUAACUGACAGAUUUUAUAACAGUAGUGUGUACUUUUUCAAUUUAUAUUAUUUUAUGGUUUAUCACCUUUAUUUUGUAAAGAAAUGAAUCUAAUCUACCAGUGGGAAAGUCAGUGACAUUGAAGAGUUCCUUCCGGUGGUCACGCGGGAAAGGGGACAUAAUCUAAAAAUUUCGAGGUGGCGCUGUAAUCAACGUGUAAACAAAAACGUAGCAUAUGAUUUAGACAAUAAAUUUAUCAAAACGACUUAUCAUCCAACAGUAUUUGCGGUUUAAUCUUCAUCAGAAUAGAUUUUGUCACACGACUGUCAAAAAUAUAUUAAAAUAAGUGCUUCGUUAUUGAAAUAUGAUAAAUCAGAAGACUACCUCCGUUGAUUUCCAAAAAACCGCGGGUAAUACCCCCGUCUGAAAAUAACUGACACAAUUGCAUCCUAAAGCUUUUCAUUGGAUGAGAUAUAAAUAAAUGUGACCCAGAAACAUAUGGGCACAUGACUAUGUAAAGAAUUCCCAGUCACUUCGAGUCUUGUUUACAUAAUAAAUACCUCAACCGGAGGUCAAAAAUCAACAUUUUUCUAACGUUUUUGGCGUUAUUUCAUUGCAAAAUGGGGCAAAUGAUGUUAAUUUUUACCAGUUUUUAACCACGAAAUUGAUUCAGACAAUGAUGUGUGAUGAUGUUUCCGGGAUUUUUAAUAUGUUUUACAUAAAAAUGUUGAUAUGUUGAAGGCUUUACUCCGUCAUUUGUUGAUUUUUUUCAUGUUGCUCAGACUCCUUGUUUUAAUAAUUUUCUGCAUUUAUUUAAUUAUGCGACAGUGUUUAAAAGAUUUAUGUAGUACAUUGAAGCUGGUUUAUUCUAUGAAUGAAUUUGUCCAUAUAAAUGACUUCAGUUGUCUGGAAGCCCCCCCCCCCCCCUCCCCUUUUUCCCACUUUCAAGAAAUUUCAGUUGGGCAAAAAAUAUUGUCUGAAUGAAAAGCUUGCACGAAUGCAAAGUGUAAGCACUCAGCUAAUGUCUGUUUUAAGCCUUUUUUUUAGUCUAAUGAUUACAGUCAUUCUUUGUUUCUGUAAAUAUUUACCUGUCAAAAUGUGUCAACUUGUCAAUUUUAAAAAUAUUAAAAGUAUAAAUCAACAAAUAUUGCCUGCCUGCCACUGUGACAUGAAAAUCUGAUGAGUCAAUAAUUUUCACUUGAUUUUUAGUCUUUGUUCUUAUUGUAUAAAUAAAACUACUAUGCAAGUGGGAAUUAAGUUAACACACAAACAUUUGUAUUUUGCCUGUCCUUAUCAAGGAACCUGUUGUACACUAACCAUUCAUGUUUAAGUGUGUCUGGGCCCUGGUAACAAGUAUUUGUCAUUGUGUUUUCAAGUGUGUGCAUGUUCUUAAAGAAUUGUUUUAAAAAAGUUUUUCUUCCAUAUAUAUAUAGUAGCUGUAUUUAUUUUAUCAUUAGUUCUGGAUUUAGAAUUUUUAUCACAUGCUAUUUUAUAAGGUCCCAUAUACUUAACAAAGUGGUUUGCAAAUUGUUGAAGGCUAAAACUGUUACCUAUAAUUAUCAUCCUCUAUCAAUUUUCAAUCAUGUCAAUAUGGGUUUCUUUUAAAAACAACUUUUCCCAAGGAAAAACUAAAGUUGAAAAAAAUAGUUUAACCCAGAUAUGCUGCUGCUGAAGAAAUUAACAUUAACAAUGGUAUUUUUCAAAUAUAGCAUUCAUUAAUUACACUAUUCCUUCACAGUGAAAAUGAAAAAAAUUUUUUUUUUAAUUUGAAUGCAUCCAAGGGCUAUCCUGGAUUAACCUUCAACAGGUAUGCUCAAUGCCUAGUACAUAUACAAGUCUUAAUACAAGUGAGAGCUAUAUGACCGUUAAGAGCAUAAAAAAACCCUAUAUUGCUUCUGAGGUCUACUUUGAAGAUGGGAUAUGAAUGUCUCACUCUGAUUUUGGUUAUCCUGUUUUGUUGCGUUGAUAUUAAUGUUUGAUCAACAACUUUUAUUUCACACUAAUCUUUUUCGAGGUCUAUCAUGAUGGAUAUUCUAGGUACUGUAAAUUCAGAAAGGAUAGCAAAGUUUUAAUUACUGCAAUAAUGUGAGUGGGUGAGUAUCUAAAUAAUAAAUUGCAUUCUGAUACCUUUUAAUCUGAUUAAAAUGCAAAUCCUGUGUCCAAGCUUAUUACAAGAAAACAAAGCUUGGACACAGGAUCUAUACUUAAAUCAGAUUCAUACCAUUCCUAUAUCUGUGUGUUGAUUUUUCUGCUAAAGCAAUACUUUUUCACACAUUUUAUUCCAUUCUACAUAUUUGCAAUAAUAAAAGCACACAAUAAUUUGCAAAAUCAUGUGAUUACAUAUAGGAAAAGGGCACCUAGGCAUCUCAUUCUAAAUACUACACAUGGAGCAGGAUCUGCUUACUCUUCCAGAGCACCUGAGAUCAUCUGUAUUUUGUGGGUUCAAGUUGCUCAGUUUUCAUUUUUCUAAUUUGUAUAUUAGUUUAAACUUUUCAUCAAAUAGUCUGAAAACAGAGAUAUGCAUCUGCUGAAAAUGAUUUAUUUAGGUGCAGGGGUCACCACACUUCAAAAUCUCCCUGGAAACAUAUAACAGUGAAAAGUCAUGUCAUGAGAGGCCAUUAGAGAGACAUCAAGGAUACCUCUGGGAGAAGUGAACGAUUCUAAAACCACUCCGUUUAAGUCCUUCACACCUAAUAAAUCAUUAAAGUAGACCUUUUACAUCUUUGAUAUUUUUUUAUGUCUCAAAUACUACAGUACAUACAUGUACAUGUAUAUGGCUAAUAUGCUUGCUUUGCAUCUAUGAAUGUUUUAUUGUAUUGCAGCAGCAGCAUUGUCUCAUGUACAUCUACCCCAUGUUAUCAAUAUAAAAUGAUUAUGGUGUUUCACUUUGUAUAUUUAAAAAUAUAAAAAUGUUAAGAAAAAAAAAGUUUAUUAAAAGAUAAAUAAAUACAAAUGCAUAAAAAAAAUGUUAAAAUGAAACAUAUGUAAAUAAUAUCUUAAAUUAUUAUAAGAAAAAUAAACUUCAGUCAAAUAAACAAAAUUUAAUACAACUUAAUACUUUGAAAGUAAAAAAAAACAAACGCAUAACAAUAAAGUUUAAAAUUUAAGAAGCAUUAUUGUUAAAAAGUCCAAGUUAAAGUAAAAACAAGUCGAAUAGUUCUCUGUUACAUAAAUCCUCAAAAUGGAAGUGUUUCCUGCUCUUCUUUAUUCCUUAUUUCUAUUGAUAUCUGUAAAUAUAUAAAUUUAUGCAUAUGAUAUUAAAUGAAAAUAAUUUCCAACUUCUCUUAGAGUUGUCAUGAAAUUAUAAUUUAUAUUUUAAUUGUCUACUGAUUCUUAUGUGGUCCAAGUUUUAAUUUAAAUCGAAUGUUUCUAAUUUCACUAAUGUAAAACUAAUCAGAUGUGAAAUAACUGCCAAUGAGACAACUAUCCCCAAAAACUCAAAUGGAGUGGAUAUAAGCAAUUUUAUGCUACACUAAAGCCUUCAAACAUGAGAAAAUUCCAUAAUAUAUAUACUUAAUUUUGUUUUUAGAUAUUUGUUAUUAUUUUUUUGAAAUUGAAAUUAUUCUUAUUUUAAUCUUAAAUAAUCAAAAGUAUGUAUAUAAGCUUCAAUAAACAAAAAAAUUUAGACUUUUGGUGUAAAUAAAUAAUUUAUUUUAAUGACUUUAUAUAAUAUGUCUGAUAAGAAAAGGUCAUAAUCAUAUACAGCAACAUAUGUUCAAAGAAAUUUUUCUAUUUAUUUAUUCAUUUACUUCAGUAUCUUAACAUGUUAAAGUUAAAUUCAUCACUAUAAUAACAUAUCAAUCUUUUUAUUAGAUAUUAAUAUAUAUUUAAAUAAAGUUUAACUUCAUAUGCAACAUUAAAUUAUCAUAUCUGUUAUUUCAAAGGUAACUUUUCAUUCAAUCAUUCUGAUUCAUAUCUUUAAUUCCUCAUAAAUGAUAUUAAAUGUAAGUAAACGUCAUAAUUACAAACAAAAUAUCAGUAUGAGAGCAAAAAUAUAAAGUAAAUGCACAAGUAAGUCUGCAUUCAGGUUGUGAGUUCAAACUCUCCUUGUGCAGGUUAUCUGAACUCCAAUCAAAAUUGAUUAGGAUUGCUGUAACCAAAGGUCUGUGGUUUUCUAUGACGGACAGACAGACGGACGGACGGACAACUGUAUACCAUAAUACCUCUCAUAAACAGGCGUAUAAAAAGGAGGGUUCUUUUUCCAAAUUGUCUUUGCCUAAUGAAUAUUCUAUUAAGAAUUUCUUUUAAAUAUUUAGGAAAUUUCCUUUUAUCAUUAAAUGACAUUUAUCAAAAUAAAUGUGAAAAUUACUAAGAAUAUUCAUUUCUAAUGAAAAUUAAUCUUCAAAAUGACAACAGAUUAUGGAUUUAUUCUAAAUUUUAAAAAAAUGGAAAAUUAAUAAAAAAAAAUCAUAACUUCAUAUUACAUUCUUUUAACUGUAUCUGAACAUGAUUAAUAAAAAAAAAACACUGACUAGAUUGUCAAAAUCUUAUGAAGAAUAUUUAUAUUUCAAGUAAACACAGAAAAUGUCAAAAUGAUGACUUUCUUAUCAGAUAACCUAUGUGUAACAUCUGUGGUCAGUUUAUUGGGAAGAGUGAUAUAUAAAUUACAAGGACUUUAAACUGUGAAGCUUAUCAGUUGUGAAAUUUGAGAUUCCCUCAAAUCUGAGGGCAUUCUUCGGGCUGUACUAUAAAGUAUAAGAGCAAUCAGGUAUCCACCACCAAUAAAACCUGGCCACAACACCUAGCCAAUACUGUGGCGUUAAAAAUCAACAAUCAAUCACAUAUAAUUUGUGUUUUUUAGCAUGGAAGGAGGGUCAGAACUGAUACUUUUCUUAUGAUUAAUAUUUCAUAUACUAGUACCUGAAAUCUGUUCAAAAUAUUUUUCAUGACCAUAUAUGCAUUAUUUAACCAAAAAAAAAUGGUACUGUUGUUCACAUAAACAAGGCUCUGGAUGGGGUGUCCUCCAUUUCUAUAUUAUUAAAUCUUUAAGGUCAUUUUUCUCUAUUCUUUAUACUUUUUGCCCAUCAUUCUCUUUUCUCAAUAGAUAAGCACAACAUUAUUCUCUAUUCCUUAUAUUUUUUAGUCAUUUUUUCUCUUUUCUUUAUACUUUUAGCCAUAGUUCUCUAUUCUGUUGUUAUUUUUUUUGUCACAAUUGAUCACAAAUACUUUACACAACCGUUAUAAAUAAUCUAAAAUAUAAAUGCUAACAUUGAUAGGUCAAAAUUAAGGUUUUAUUUAAAAUUGAAGUCUCACGCUGGGAAAGGGGCGUUUAUUUACAUGUGGUCUGUGGAAAUUUCAGCAUCGAAAAAGGGGCAAAUAUAUAGCCAUGAUUUGACAUAAACCGAUCUGAUCAAUAAAAUUGUGUUAUGGAUAUUGUUCAUAUCUUUCUACUAACCAUUAAAAGGAUAUUACUAGGAUUUUGUGAGCACAGAAACCUACUAUUCAUGUGGAUCUGUUGAAAAAUGGCGUCGAUUUAUGUGCUUCCCUUUCGCAGCCUCAGUUGCAAUUUGACACGGAGUGAUGGGUAGUUAUGCAAAUAUUUAGGGACUCCCAUCAUCAAAGAUACUAUUUUUGUUCAUUUUAUAUUUAAAUAGCCAUUAGGAUGCAAAUGUGUCAGUUAUUUUCAGAAGGGGAAAACACCCGCCAUAUUUUUAUCUUCCAAAACAACAACGUCACUUGCCAUUUUCAGAUGUUUGUUUCUUGUAAAAUAAAAUCUCCUAAGAAGAAAAAAUAGCAUGGUCACCUGUUAAACUUACCUAUAUAACUAAUUGAUGAUGAAAUGAUGCAAGUUUAAUUGUCUUUAAUAAUAAAUUUCUUGAAAAAUCAAACGUACACGAUGUAAACAAAUUACCGAGAUGGUGCGAUACUGUCGCCGUCUAUGUAAAAAUCGCGAUUGUCGCCCUUGAAUUCCUGUCCGUUACGUCAUAUGGAAGGAGGCGUAGAACUGACGUGUGGCUUUCCCACUGUACCAGAAAUCAUAGCUAUUAAUCAUUAUAAAGCAAAUAGACUUAACGGGUCGUAUGUGCUAAAGAGGGAAUUCAAGUUCACUGGUGUUAAACUGAUAAUCGUAACUGGAAUUACGACGAUCCCAAUAUGGCGACGGCAGAAAUAGGUAAAAUCUUUUCAGUCAUUUUUCUCAAAUGUAGCCUAUUGUUGUCAAGAGUUACUCAGCUGCAAGGUUUUUCUAUACCAUUACAUCAUAUUUGAAUCGUAACGGUGCACUAUAAUUGUCUAAGUGCUUAGAAAAUUGCUGUCGAAAAAUUCGGGAUGAUAAUCGUAAUUCGAUGGCAUUUUUCUUGUUUGAUAAUCGCAAUUUCUUUAUGGGAUAAUAGUAACUGAAAAAUAAUAAAUGUGUCUUCCAGCUUGUCAAUGGUAUUUGUGUGUAAAAACGGCAAUGUCCAGUUAAACGAUGACAUUAACGUGCAAAAUAAAGAAUAAUGAGCAUUAUCCCAUAUUCCAAAAGUGCAAUCCUUUCAAAUGAAAGUUCCGUAUACCACAUUUCAAUAUGCCAUAUGUUUUGCCUCAAAUAUUGCAUAUAUCCAAUCGACUUUUAAAUCAAUAAAAAGGGCAAGUUAACCUCCCCUAUCUCAAUAUUCCCUAUACCACGGGGGUGGCUGUGGGUUACUUCCUAUAUAAAUAUAUAAGUUAUAACAUGGAUCAGAUUUUUGGUCUUCGGCAAUAUAUGAAAAGGGACAUUUUUUUUAAAUUUCAGCAGCACGACAGAAGUGACACCACCCCUUCCACCGUGCCUUAUACAGACCUCAUUUAUCAUAAGAUCGCUGUCAGUUUUGAGUUCCCUGUUGUUUAUAUUCGGGGAUGGGUCCACAAAUUAUGUUAAAGGGAAAUGGGGGAGGGGGGGGGGCUAUUAACUGAACGUUUAUACUAAAUUUCUGCGAGAAAUGAACAAAAUUUUCCAUCAGUUACUUAACUGCAUUAUUGGAUUUAACAGUUGAUACUUUGAUUGGUGGAUAUAUGAGUUUUCAUUUUGCCCUUUUCCUUAUAUUUCAAUAGAAAUACAUAUAGUUUAAUUUUGGAAUGAAAUGUAUCCCGGUUAAAAUAGCCGUUCAUAUUUUUCAAGUGAAUUCACUUUUGUUCUGUUUUACACUGAUAUUUAUAUGAUUUUAAAAAUUAAAUUCAAAUAUUUUGAUUAAAUACCCAUGUAUUUUAGGACGUUUCUUUAAACAGGGUGGAUGGUAAAGGAUCUAGAAUAGUUACCAGUUUAUUGUUACUAUUGUUUAUUGUUACUUGUGUUUAUUGUUACUUGUGUUUAUUGUUCCUUGUGUUUAUUGUUCUUGUGUUUAUUGUUCUAUGUGUUUAUUGUUCCAUGUGUUUAUUAUUGUUCCUUGUGUUUAUUGUUACUUGUGUUUAUUGUUCCUUGUGUUUAUUGUUCCUUGUGUUUAUUGUUCCUUGUGUUUAUUGUUACUUGUGUUUAUUGUUUUUAUUAGCCUUAACUAAAUGGCACGUAUAGACUUGCGAAGCAUUUGAAGGACUGAAAAUAAACACAAAUAUAUAUUAUGUAUAUAUGUGUAUUGGUCCUCAGAAGGCAUAAUAUGUAGAUCAUCACGGUCGAAACUGGUUUAAUUACAAAGACGUUAAUAGAUAGUCAAACAAAUAUUUUGUGCUUCAGAAAAAUGCAUGGCAAUUAUGAAAGGCUAAUUUUUGUUUUCAUUUGACAGAAAAGUACUAAGUAUAUGGUAAUUAUGCAAGUACAAAAAUAUUCUUUGUUACCUUCAAUAUUUUUUCUCUACAAUAACUUCCAUGCAUAUGUAUGCAGCAUAUUUUUCAUAAACCAAGUAUUUAUGAUUUCUUGAAUCAGUUUGUUUCUGAUAUGGCGGAAUAUGCGCUAUGAUUUCUUAAAGUUGCAGUCAUCUUUUUGAAUAAAUAUAGCUUGUAAGGUAAUUCAAGGCCACAUCAAUUUGAUUUCUUGAUCUUCGGGCUUUUGGCCAAACUAUUAAAGAACACAAAUCCAUGUUUGCCAAUGAACUCCACGUCACCAUGUGCUUAACUCCAUAACACACAAAGCAUUCCAACUUUUAUCUGCUCUUAUAUUAUUAUUAUCCUUUUUAAGGAUGUCAUAUUAUUAGAAUGCCAAACUAAAUUGGUGUUGUUAAAAUUUAUAGUUAUUUUCUGAGAUAUCGAAAUGUCAGUGACGGUCAUGAAGUAGCUAAGCAUUUUUUUAGUAUUUAUGGGCUAUACAACUUUUUACACAUUCAAAAAGGUGUGACAUUUGUUUUCAAGUCCGUGUUUAAAUAGAAUACCAAACAAUAUUUCUUUUUAACUCUAAACAUGAAGAGAUCAUGAUGACAUUUUUUUAAAUUUUCUCCCAUAUUUUGUAACGGUCCUAGUGCCUGGAGUUUUCAGUACUUUAACAUAGUUCAUGUUUCCCCAUUUACAAAUUUAUGUAUCUGUUUACAUUAGAAUUGUUAAUCAUAUAUGCACAAAAAGAAAUGUCAUAAGAUAUGGGAACGUUUUCGUGAUUAAUUCAUCACCAUAUUUCAUCAUAUAUGCUAUUAGAUAGACGUUUUUCGUGUCAAUACCAAUCAAACACUACCCAGUUACGAGUAUCUUCUUAUUUAUUAAUACCGAAAUUACGAUUAUCAUUUUUGCGAGUUACGAUUAUCAUCCCGAAUUUUUCGAUGGCAAUUUUCUAAGCACUUAGACAAUUAUAGUGCACUGUUACGAUUCAAAUAUGAUGUAAUGGUAUAGAAAAACCUUGCAGCUGAGUAACUCUUGACAACAACGGGCUACAUUUGAAAAAAAUGACUGAAAAGAUUUUACCUAUUUCUGCCGUCGCCAUAUUGGGAUCGUCGUAAUUUCAGUUACGAUUAUCAGUUUAACACCAGUGAAGCUGGCAUAAGUCAUAGCUGUAAAUCAUUACAGAGCAAAUAGACCUAACAGGUCGUAUGAGCUAAAGAGGGAAUUCAAGUAUGCAUAAGUCAUAGCUAUUAAUCAUUACAGAGUAAAAAGACCUAACAGGUCGUAUGAGCUAAAGAGGGAAUUCAAGUAUGCAUAAGUCAUAGCUAUUAAUCAUUACAGAGGAAAUAGACCUAACAGGUCGUAUGAGCUAAAGAGGGAAUUCAAGUAUGCAUAAGUCAUAGCUAUUAAUCAUUACAGAGUAAAUAGACCUAACAGGUCGUAUGAGCUAAAGAGGGAAUUCAAGUAUGCAUAAGUCAUAGCUAUUAAUCAUUACAGAGUAAAUAGACCUAACAGGUCGUAUGAGCUAAAGAGGGAAUUCAAGUAUGCAUAAGUCAUAGCUAUUAAUCAUUACAGAGUAAAUAGACCUAACAGGUCGUAUGAGCUAAAGAGGGAAUUCAAGUAUGCAUCAGUCAUAGCUAUAAAUCAUUACAUAGCAAAUAGACUUAACAGGUCGUAUGAGCUAAAGAGGGAAUUCAAGUAUGCAUAAGUCAUAGCUAUUAAUCAUUACAGAGUAAAUAGACCUAACAGGUCGUAUGAGCUAAAGAGGGAAUUCAAGUAUGCAUAAGUCAUAGCUAUUAAUCAUAACAAAGCAAAUAGAAUUAACAGGUCGUAUGAGCUAAAGAGGGAAUUCAAGUAUGCAUAAGGAAUUAAAGCUUGAACGAUUAGAAUCCAGUGUCUAAAAGAUUAAUACCAAAUGAGACAUGUGUUUAAAAAAAAGUUAAAAGCAAGUGUGUCAUGUGUGAGUAGCAGAUUAAUUAAGAUCAAAUGUGUCAUAUCUGUGUAAAAGAUUUAAAUGUAUGUGUCAUGUGUGUUAAAGAUUAAAAAUUUAAAAUGUUUUAAACAAAUAGCAAGUGUGAGUAAAAGAUUAAAAAUAAACUUGUGUUACAAUCAAAUUCGUUUCCCAGAUUUAAAUCAAGAUUUUGGAAAAAAAUAAAAUUAAAUAAAUAAAAUUUAUAUUUUAAAAUCAUUCAGGCUUCUGUUUUCAAUGUAUGUAUCUUUUAAAUAGAUUGUGUGAUGUUAGUUUAUCUUAUGUGACUUUUAAAUAGAUUGUGUGAUGUUGGUUUAUCUUAUGUAUCUUUUAAAUAGAUUGUGUGAUGUUAGUUUAUCUUAUGUGACUUUUAAAUAGAUUGUGUGAUGUUGGUUUAUCUUAUGUAUCUUUUAAAUAGAUUGUGUGAUGUUGGUUUAUCUUAUGUGACUUUUAAAUAGAUUGUGUGAUGUUAGUUUAUCUUAUGUGACUUUUAAAUAGAUUGUGUGAUGUUAGUUUAUCUUAAUAUAUGAUAUGUAUAAUGACUUAUGUGAUUGGUUUAUCUGUCCUUUGUUAUCAUUUGUGUAAUUUUAUUAGCAGUCUUCCUUGAGAAAUAAAUGUAUAUAAAAAUAG